rnacentral:rRNA from 1 species
GAUGAACGCUGGCGGCGUGCCUAAUGCAUGCCAGUCGAACGAACAGACGAGGAUCUUCUUCCUCUUACGUUGGCGCCGGACGGGUGAGUACCCUGUGGAUACCCUAUCUAUAAGACUGGAAUACACUCGGGAAACAGGAGCUAAUACCGGAUAAUCUUUUUAACCGCAUGGUUCAACAGUAUAACACGGUUUUCCUGAUUGUUAUUGCUAGCUCCGGGUGGAUUAGUCUAGUUGGUAAGGCUACGCAUUACCAAGGCAACGAUGCGUAGCCGACAGGCGAGGGAGAUCGGCCACACCGGAACGGAGACACGAUCCAGACUCCUACGAGAGGCAGCAGUAUGGAUUCUGCCGCGAUGGGCGAAAACCUGGCGGAGCAACACCGCGUGAGUGAUGAAGGUCUUCGGAUCGUAAAACUCUGUUAUUAGGGAAGAACAAAUGUGUAAGUAACUAUGCACGUCUUGACGGUACCUAAUCAGAAAGCCACGGCUAACUACGUG